ACGAACGCUGGCGGCGUGCUUGACACAUGCAAGUCGAACGGAAAGGCCUGCUUUCCCUUGUGGAUUGCGGGUACUCGAGUGGCGAACGGGUGAGUAACACGUGAGUGAUCUGCCCCCAACUUGGGUAUAAGCCUGGGAAACUGGGUCUAAUUCCCGAUAGGACUGCAGGGUGGUGCCUGUGGUGGAAAACGAUUUUCUAGUGGUUGGGGAUGAGCUCGCGGCCUAUCAGCUUGUUGGUGGGGUAAUGGCCUACCAAGGCGGCGACGGGUAGCCGGCCUGAGAGGGUGGACGGCCACAUUGGGACUGAGAUACGGCCCAGACGCCUACGGGAGGCAGCAGUGGGGAAUAUUGCACAAUGGGCGGAAGCCUGAUGCAGCGACGCCGCGUGGGGGAUGACGGCCUUCGGGUUGUAAACUCCUUUCGACCGCGAGGAAGCCACCUGGUUGGAAGGGUGGUGACGGUAGUGGUAGAAGAAGCACCGGCUAACUACGUG
rnacentral:rRNA from 1 species